CCUGCCCCUAGAGGCACUUGCAGGUGUGGCUGCUGUGUCACAUGUGCAUCAGUAGGUGGCAGAGAGGAGAAAGGAUAGGUCUAAGCUUGGUGUUAUGACCUGUGAGCCUCUGGCCUAACACUCCCUGAAAAA